AGAUAAUCAUACAAAGAACUAGCCCUUUCCAACUCACUGUAAAUCCUCAAUCCAUGUUAGCUUUUUGUAACAUUAAUAACAUAGCAAUAAUAAUUUGUAGCUUGAAUAAUAGUAAGUUGCCUAAAGAGAUGUAGCUAAGGAAGUCUGAGUUAGCCUUUGGACUCUGAACUGCCUCUGCAUUUAGCACACUGAUAUGCAGAGCAAGCUGUAUCCACACUGAUCUCAGUGUGCUGCAGUUUCAAAAGCUGUUCAGCUGGGAUCAAGGAAAGCAAUGACCGCCUACUCCCCAAAUCCUUUCUAUUUCGAAAUUCCCAGGUCAAUGAUGACCAUUGCCAGAGGGUCUCAGGAAGGUGGAAUCCACAUGGAGAGUUGGAAAAGGGAGGCCGAGGUGGGCAGAUCACCUGAAGUCAGGAGUUCAAGACCAGCCUGGCCACCAUGGCGAAACCUCGUCUCUACUAAAAAAUACAAAAAUUAGCUGGGUGUUGCAGUGGGUACCUGUAAUUCCAGCUACUUAGGAGGCUGAGGCAGGGAGAACUGCUUGAACCCAGAAAGCGGAGGUUGCAGUGAGCUGUGAUUGUGCCACUACACUCCAGCCUGCAACCCUGUCACAAAAAAAAAAAAAAAAAGAAAGAAAGAAAAAAAGAAAAAUGAGUGGGAACUGAGGAAGUCUAAAUAAAAUUCUAAACAGCAAGUAUAAACCUUUGUUUUUUCAAUGAAGAGGAAUCACUAGAGUGGACACAGGAGGAUGGUGGAAAUUGAAGACAGGUAAGAAUAGAACACAUUUAUUGACGGAGAGGAGGGAGCUAGCAGAAAGUAUGGUUAACAGAGAGAGAAAAUAAGUGAAGACCCCAGUCCUUAAGGAAGGACUGUGAGGAUGGGGCAAGAGGAGGGAAGGAAAAGCGUCACCUCUUCCACUGAGGGCUAGAAAGGAGGUGGAGACAAGUGCAUAGGCAUUUGCAUGUCUGAGCAGGGCUUUGAAGAGGGUAAAUGUCUAAAAGCCUCUAGCAUCUCAGAAAAGUUGAAGAUGAGGUUAUAUGCUACACUGGAGAGGAGUAGAGACAAGACUGGAAAAUUUGAGUGCAUGGCUUCAGGUCUGAAAUAAACAUUGGAAGGCGACAGAGAGGAAGUUGAACCAGUCUGUGUAGAAGGAUGUGAGCACUGGGAUUUCAAAGACGAGGUUUGUAGAGGCCCCAGUCUGCAUCUUUAUAUGAUUUCCUCCAGCAUUUUUGUAACAUUACAUUGCAUUUUGUAACAUUGCUGAGCCCCUCUUUGAGUAAUUGGCAGAAAAGGCUGAGUCCUCAUAGAAUUGUGUGCUAUUUCUAAAACAUAUCCAUGGUUUAAAAAGCUUUAAGAUCUAUAAACUAAAAUCCACCCAUUUUGCAGGAUGAUUCACAGUGUCGACAGUUUGGAUCAAUUUCCUGAAGAAAGGACAAAACUGGAAGCUAUUCUUUAUGAGAGAAGAGAAUUCCAACCAGUGAGAUGAGAAUUGCACAAAUCCUGCAGCCCAUCUCUGCCACAGCUCAAAAUUGUUGGGUAAGUAAUGACCCAGACCAUUGAAGAAAAUGAGGAAACUGUGCACACAGACUGAUGUCUUAUGUGACCAACAUGCAUAUAAGAAAUGGAAGCUUCCCCCUAUCUUUCCAGAGUUCAAAAAUCCUAUUGCUGAAUUCACCUCCAAUUCCAUGAAACAAUAUAAAAGAUCCUCCAUAAAGACCCCAGGUUAUAAUGUUUACAAUUUAUUUUGUACUCCUUUUCUCUGGUAAUUGAUGACUGCUAUUAUUAAUGAAGACAUUACAAGGAAUAAAAGGGCUUGCCUGCCACUUCUCACCACAAAACCGUGUGGCAUCAAACAGAAUGAAAUCCUUCUGACACUGACAGCUGGAGAAAACCUUGUCACCACAGUGACAGUGUCAAGUGUGGUGUGACAUCUCUGUGUGUGUUUCUUUUGCACCUAAUAACUUCGUUGCCAAUACAGACCAAAAUAAUGAAAGAAAACCUGCUUUUGCCAGCCCAAAGGAUUAACUGUACUGUUGAGAAAACUGCAGGAAUAUUUGACAUGAGAUCACAAUUUUUAAUUCUUUUCCCCCCAGGAUUCUGCAUGAAGUAUUUUUCUAUGAAGGAUUUAAAUAGAAUUACUUUUCCUCACAUUGGUCAUGGAGAGAAUUAAGACAUUAACUGUUGAUCCAAUUUAUACUGCCAUUUGAUCCCAUAAGUGCUAUACAGGACUCGGUUACUCAUGGAAAAUAGUUCCUGCCAGAUCAAACACUCUCAGGGCCAAAGUCACAAGAUUCUGACUUUACAUGCUCUGUUCUGCCUCCUUUCAUUUUGCCUCUUGGAUUGUCAUGAACUUCCUGAGCAAGAAGGCCAUCCACCAUGCAGUGUAAUGUCUUGCUAAGAGAAAUUAGUAUUCAGUCUGCUCAGGUUCCAGCAAGGACUUUCUUCAUGAAGAUCUUCAAGUGGAAUCAAGCAGCCUUGCCCAUGAAGUCAUGCCUGUGGCUCCACUGAGAAAUUCGAUUAAGUAUUCCAAUACUGCUGUGAAACGAAGUGAUCUGAUUCCGCAUAGCCCAUCUGGAUUCUUUACACUAAGGCAAGAGGCAAGCAGAAGACAAAGAGAGAAAGCAGAGGACCUCCGGGAAAGGAAGCCCCCUUUUCAGUCGGCCUAGGCAGAAGUAGAUUUACUCUGAGGAUUCACUCCAAGGGUGAAGUUUUAAGGGUGCUUCACUUGCUCUGGUUUCAUAAAUAAAUUUUGAUCUUCUUAAAUACAUUUGGAUUAAAUUUUCAUGUUUUUUUCUAAAAGAAAUUGUACAAACCUGAGGACCCAUGAACUUAGUUUCACCCCUCCUACUGGGGAAGCCUAGCAACUCCAAAUGGCCUUUGUCACCAUCUGAUUCUUAAAUUCUAAUUUCCACAUUGUUGUGUAAAAACAAGAAGCUAUAGAUAACAGUUGAGUUGUAAAGUUAUCUGGUGUACUUUAUUAUUAGCAGUGAUUGAUGUGGAUAAUGGACAAUCUGGAAAAUCCUGAAUACUUAACAAACAAUAUUAUUUAUAUCUAUCCAUUUUACUUUACAUGCAUAGAUGGAGGCUUUUAAAGAGUGUUACUUGUGAAACAUGUUUUUAAAAUUAUUUUGUCCUAUCUUAUGUUAUUAGACCCCUGAGAACUCAAGUUUAUAGAGAUUAGCAAUAUGAUUUUUAUAAAUAUUUUUAAGUACUUACCUCCCAGACCAUUGUAAAUGGGAUGGGCCAUAAUUACAAAUUUAUCAUUAAAAUAAAAAGAAUGUUAAGAAGCAUAUAAAAAUUACACAAUCCCAAUCUAUCUUUUCACAGAUUGACUGUCAAAUGCAUUCUGAUGGGAAAAUGAAUAGUAAAAAAAGACAUAAUAUACUGACAUUGAGCAUAUUUUAUAUUGAACAAGACUGUUUAAAAUUCUUCACAUAGCAUGUUCAGGCUGCAUUUUAAUUAAAUGCCAUGCAGAAGUGCUCAGCUUUUGAACCAUGUAAUAUUCCCAGG
rnacentral:lncRNA from 10 species